rnacentral:rRNA from 1 species
GAUGAACGCUAGCUACAGGCUUAACACAUGCAAGUCGAGGGGCAGCGGGAUUGAAGCUUGCUUCAAUUGCCGGCGACCGGCGCACGGGUGAGUAACGCGUAUCCAACCUUCCGUACACUCAGGGAUAGCCUUUCGAAAGAAAGAUUAAUACCUGAUGGUAUCUUAAGCACACAUGUAAUUAAGAUUAAAGAUUUAUCGGUGUACGAUGGGGAUGCGUUCCAUUAGGUAGUAGGCGGGGUAACGGCCCACCUAGCCAACGAUGGAUAGGGGUUCUGAGAGGAAGGUCCCCCACAUUGGAACUGAGACACGGUCCAAACUCCUACGGGAGGCAGCAGUGAGGAAUAUUGGUCAAUGGACGAGAGUCUGAACCAGCCAAGUAGCGUGAAGGAUGAAGGUCCUAACGGAUUGUAAACUUCUUUUAUAAGGGAUAAACCCUCCACGUGUGGGAGCUUGUAUGUACCUUAUGAAUAAGCAUCGGCUAACUCCGUGCCAGCA